rnacentral:rRNA from 1 species
CGAACGCUGGCGGCAGGCUUAACACAUGCAAGUCGAACGCAUCGCAAGAUGAGUGGCAGACGGGUGAGUAACGCGUGGGAACAUACCCUUUUUCUACGGAAUAGCUCUGGGAAACUGGAAUUAAUACCGUAUACGCCCUACGGGGGAAAGAUUUAUCGGGGAAGGAUUGGCCCGCGUUGGAUUAGCUAGUUGGUGGGGUAAAGGCCUACCAAGGCGACGAUCCAUAGCUGGUCUGAGAGGAUGAUCAGCCACAUUGGGACUGAGACACGGCCCAAACUCCUACGGGAGGCAGCAGUGGGGAAUAUUGGACAAUGGGCGCAAGCCUGAUCCAGCCAUGCCGCGUGAGUGAUGAAGGCCUUAGGGUUGUUAAAGCUCUUUCACCGAUUGAAGAUAAUGACGGUAGUCGGAGAAGAAGCCCCGGCUAACUUCGUGCCAGCAGCCGCGGUAAUCU